AAGCGCCGGGCGGGGCAGGGCCGGGGGCUGUGGGACCAUGGCGGGCCGAGGUUCCGCGUCCUCGGAGCACCUGGAGCGGCUGCACGAGAUCUUCCGCGGGCUGCACGGAGACCUGCGGGCCGUCCCCGAGCGGCUGCGGGGCAGCGCGGCCGAGGAGAAGAAGAAACUGGUUCGAGAAUUCGAUGAGAAGCAGCGUGAAGCCAACGAGACACUGCGGGAAAUGGAGGAAGAGCUGAAGUAUGCGCCUGUGCCUUUCCGCAACCAAAUGAUGAGCAAAAUCCGAGCCUACAGAAGAGACCUGUCCAUGUUCCAGAGGGAUAUGAGAAGCACAGAUUUGGGGUUGGGCCGUGGAAACCAAGGCGAUACAAAAUAUGGAAUCUUUGCCACAGAAAAUGAACAGAGUACUAACCUGCAGUCCCAGAGAGUGCUGCUGCUCCAGGGCACAGACAGUCUGAACCGAGCCAGCGAGAGCAUCGAACGCUCGCACCGGAUCGCUGCCGAAACCGACCAGAUCGGCACGGAUAUCAUCGAGGAGCUCGGGGAGCAGCGGGAGCAGCUGGAGCGCACCAAGAGCAGGUUGGUGAAUACCAGUGAGAACUUGAGCAAGAGUCGCAAGAUUCUGCGCUCGAUGUCCCGGAGAAUAACCACAAAUAAGUUGCUGCUAUCAAUUAUCAUCAUCCUGGAACUGGCCAUCCUAGGAGGUGUGGUCUACUACAAGUUCUUUCGCAAGAAAUGAACCUUCAUGAUCAAGAUGAGCUUUUCCACUGCUGAGGAAUAGGAUGGGCUGUCUGCUCCCUUUGACUGUCUGAGGGUUGAACUGAGUCAUGAGACAGCACAUUGAACUGAAACUGUACUGACACUUGAAAGACAGAGAAUGGGAGUAAAAAGAAACAGGCUUGAACUACUGAUUCAUCUGGAGAGCUGGGUGUUGGGAGUUCAUCAAAAGCAAUGUGUGCUCCUUCCCUUGUCUGCCCAAAGCACGUCGCUAUCACAUCGACUGCAAGGCGAGCAGUUGCUUUCACUGCCUCUUGAGAAGCUCCCAGCAGUGGAUUGACUUCAACCAUGUCUACAGCUGAAAGCAUUCCUGUGAAAAUGAUUGGCAGCUUUGUUACUCUGACAAAGGGUACAGUCUUCUGCACGGUUUUGUUUGCAGCCUUUUAUUCAUUGUAGCAAGUCUGGUAUUUGGGUUUGUGACCUGCUCUACCCCUUAGACAAGUAAGAUUGGCACUCAAGGGAUGAAGUUCCUUCUCAGAUGCAAAUUUGUGUUUUUAAUUUUGUUCUUUCUUACAUCGUCACUACCUCACUCACUCGUGCUUUCAGCAUACAGGAAAAACAUUUGAUGUUCCAUACACAUUUAUGAGAGGAACAUUUUUUCUCCUAGUCCAAAAAUGAGGGUAGUCUCACCUCAUAUUCUUUUGCUAUCCUGUUCACGAAUCUAUAGACUAUUGUCCGGUUGGGAUUUUUUUAACCUUCUUUUACUGCAAAUAAUAUUGUUUAAACAUAUUAAAUAAAAACUUGAUGGUAAUAAGAUGAAAAGUCCUCAUAUAUUGAAUCAACUGCAGUAUAUUUUAUGAAAGCUUGAUUUAUUAGUCUUCAAUCCUAGAAUGGAACUUGAAACUAUUUAAGAUUGUUUGCACCCAUUUUUGUAAUCCAGAUGCCCAUUUUCACAUCUCUCCUCAUGUGUUUGGGAUUAGGGAACAGUAUUACACAUUUUUGACAUUAGCUGUUAACAUACUGUGUAUUUUCUUUUGCUAAGCUGAAGCUGUUGAUGGUUAAGAUGCUUCCAACACCAAGGGAAUUGCCCAGUCACGGGACUUCUUUUUCCCUUACUGAAGGCUGAAUUGACUUUGCAGGCACCUUUGUUUUGACUACACUUACUAUCUAUUUAUACCAGAAAAACAUAACCAGUAUGCGCUCUGGGUAGUUUGUCCUGUCCUCGCUUAGCCCCGUACUGCUGGUGCUCCUACCUGUGUUGUGUAUUUCCUCUGUGAUGUACAUGCCUUCUCUGUAAGUUAAUCCACCUAGAACAGGAGUCCCCGUUGCUGGAGCCAGUGAGGGAUCAAAAGCAUCAAUGUCAAAACUCAGGUGAAUUGGUCUCUGUCUCCUGAGACAGAAUAAAACAAGAAAAGCAAUCUUAGAGC